rnacentral:rRNA from 1 species
GCUUAACACAUGCAAGUCGAGCGAGAAUCGUUUAUUGAAGGCUUCGGCUGGAAAUAGAUGAGGAAAGCGGCGAACGGGUGAGUAACGCGUGGGCAACCUGGCCUUAAGAAAAGGAUAGCCCCCGGAAACGGGGAGUAAUACUUUAUGAGAAUGAAAGAGGGCAUCCUACUUUCAUUCAAAGCGCAAGCGCUUAAGGAUGGGCCCGCGUAUCAUUAGCUAGUUGGUGAGAUAACAGCCCACCAAGGCAACGAUGAUUAGCCGGUCUGAGAGGGCGAACGGCCACAUCGGAACUGAGAGACGGUGCAAACUCCUACGGGAGGCAGCAGUGGGGAAUAUUGCGCAAUGGAGAAGAACUCUGACGCAGCAAUACCGCGUGAGCGAAGAAGGUCUUCGGAUCGUAAAGCUCUGUUAUCAGGGAAGAAGAAAAUGACGGUACCUGAUGAGCAAGUCCCGGCCAACUACGUGCCAGCCGCCGCCGUAACAC